UAAUUUUCGCGCAUUCUAGUCGUCUUCCUGUUUCCCGAGAGCUCCAACCCUGUAAGGGAGUUCUCCACAGGAAUGGCCAAGGGAGUUGAGAUUUCUCUUCUCCCUUGGCCACCACUUUACUGUUUACUUAGUUUAAUUUAUUGCUUUAAUUACAGUCUUUGUAGAAUUAGAAAUUUCAACUUUGGUAGUAAGUAAUGAAAUAUCAUUUGCUCUUCAUUAUCACUUCUUCCACACUUUUCACACUUAUAUAAAUUCUAAUUGUAAAGAAUUUUUACUUAGCUAGUAAAGAGCACAAAAAGAUUGUUUAUCCAAGCCUUGUCUUUUGUCACAAAAAUAUUCAAGGUAGUUCAAUGUAGUUGAGUACGUGGGAGCCUUGUCGACCUGCUUAACUACUGGUUUGAAUUCAAUCUUGAUUAAAAAGAGGUAACAAAAGGGUAAAUACACUAAUGAGAUAGAAAUUGGAAUAAUUAAUGGGGCAUAGGCAGUGGUCUAUUGGGUUGUAGAAACUCCUAGUGACAGUAGGGUUUCUUUCUCAUAAUGUUCUAAUUCUGAGCGUCAUUGAAGUCUUAUUGUAAAUCCCUUAAGGUCAAGUACCAGCAAUAAAAGUUCUAUAUAAUCUGGUUUAUAAAUUUACAUUAUCUCCUUCUCCCGUUUCCGUAUUAUACAUAUAUGUUCGCUUAAACACCAGCACCAUUUGCUCACUUCCUCCAGGAAAACCUAGCCAUUAAGUAAUGCACAAUUCAGACACAACACCUCUCCUUCAAUCUCUAUCGCUCAAUUUAUACACAUAUGCGUUGUGUGUCAUCCGCCCAUGUCCUCUCGCUCAUCCAUCCCUGGCAUCUUGCCCGCUCACCACCGGUUCGCUCGCCACUACUCCGCUCUUUACCGCUUUUAUUUCCAGCUUUCUUUAGAUUAAGAUUUAGACCCGCUUUGCAACGGGUCCUUUUACUGCAUUUCCGCCGCUUUCAUGAGAUCAAUACUUGACUUAAAUUCGUGAUUUAAAAUUCCUGUAUUCGACCUGGAAACUCACCAGUUAAAUAGUAUAAAUAAUUAUGAUAACCAUUCAGGGUCUACAACCACCAAUUUUUUACUAUAUCUGAUCGCUCUCUAUAAUCCAUUACAUCAUAAUCUUCGAAUGAUAAUUCCUUGUGACUAUAUAUACACCAUCCCCAAGUCAUCAGUCGCAGUAUUAUUUGGAUAAAAUAUUAUCCGUUGGAUAGAUUUAUUAUAAUCUCAAACGGAAAGUUUGAAAUUAGAAUAAAUUACAAUCGUUUCAAACAGAAGGUUUGAAAUUAGAAUAAAUUACAAUCGUUUCAAACGGAAUGUUUGAAAUUAGAAUAAAUUACGAUCGUCAUAAACAGAAACUUUGUAAUUAGAAUAAAUUAUGACCGCUUCAAACGGAAGGUUUGAAUUUAGAAUAAAUUAAAUCAGUAAUUAAGGUCAUAAUUAUGAUCGUAAUUGAUAUUCUAUCAUUUUGGCCGAGUGAAGACGCCUAUAUAAAGCCCCCUUCAUUCUUGACAUACCAACAACUCUCUCCUCCUUUUCUCCUCUCUCCUAGCUUUCCGGAAAUCUCCCCAACUCAAUUUCUCUCUCGCUUUGUUCGUCGGAACACCAAAUAGUAGAGGUGCCACUUUCAUUGAAAACGUAAAUCGUUUUAUCUUUGGGUUAGAACGCCAGCCACCGGAUACACUACCGGAGCGUAUCUAAUUUUCGAAAAGAUGAUCCAUCGUCGACUCGGUCCUACGGUAUAUUUUACUCUUGCAAUACCAAUUUAAACCAACAUUUUAACCUUAUCCUUAAUUAAAGCCAUUUCCAAAUCCUAAACCAGUCCAUACCCAAACCCGCUUACCCUUUCUCCCACUCUCCCCAACCACAAACCAGAAUGCCGCCCUCGUCUUCUUCUUUUCCGCCCUCUCUUCCUCAUUUGAUCGCCCGCCAACGAAGCAACGCCGUGCCAGACCACCAGUCCUCCACCACGCCAGACUUCAGCCCCCGCUGACCGUCAUCUCUGUCUGAGCCUAUCCCCUGCAACUGCGCCAGCGCCCGUUCGCCCGUGCGCAACACCACCGCACUGCUGCAACCGCUACAACGCCAAUGUCGCCCUUCCUUUUCUUCUAGCGACGACAACCACCGCGCUAUCCACCAGGACCAGUGCUUCGAUUAGAUAUGAUAGAGAAUUUCAAGCCUUGUCUUAAUGUAGCGUACGGGGAAAUCAAAAGGCGUUGGCAAGCAAAAGAAAAGCUUGCAAUUGCUCCACCCUCUACGGACUCCAGGGAAGUUCAUCUCUUAUUUUAUUUCUCUUUAUAUUGAAGAUAAUGUAUGCUUUAGAUGUGGGGAGGGGAUUAUGUAAUUUUUUUGGGCAAUUCUUUCGAUUUGUGCUAUUUUAUGCCUAAUUUGUUGUCCUUUCGCAUAUUUUUAGAUUAGUCUGAAGUGAGUCAAAGGUGGUUUGUGUGAUAGGUUAGUCUGGCAUGAUUAAUGACAUUGGAUUUGAAAUAUGUAAAUAUGUUGAGUCAGAUUGACAUUUGAAAACUGUGAGAAUUUGAGCCUAUAUUCUAAAAAACUUACGUUAAAAAAAUAAACCACAUAAUAUUCAAGCUUUUGGAAUUUCUUUCAUGUGUGAUUUGUAGUGCUCAAUUAGAUGACCUAGAACUUGAAUAAUUAUGCAUAUUCAACUUGCAAUUAUCAAGUCUUGCAUUUUGAAAAUGAUAAGGACAUUAAGUAACCCUGUUAAGUAUUUCUUCAUCACCAAGCACAGUAUAUUUUCUUUAAUUAGCUCAUUUGAUCUUUUUUAGCUUAUUUUUACUUCUAUACUGUCUUUUAGCCUUAUACUUUUUUUUAAAAAAAAAAAAGGCCUUUUUUGAUUUGGACCCUAUGUUAGAAAGAAUUCCUUUAAAUUCAUGUUGUGAUGCACUUAUUGUUCAACGCUAGUUAUAUAUCAAAUUUGGGCAUGAAUAAAUAACAUGUCCAUGAGUGAUUGUUGCAAUGGGAAUUGGUGGUGAAGGUAUAUAUAUAUAAAUAUAUACACGUAUAUAUAAAAAGGCAAAAGCCAAAAAAAAAAACGGCCAAAAAAAGAAGUCAAUAAAGAAAAAAAAAAAAAAAAAAAAAAAAAAAAAAGAGAAAA